ACCCAACGAGAGAUCCCUUGCUGGCGUUCUUACCCUGUGGGUUCUGGGAGAUGAGACGUAGGCUGGUGGGGACAGACUGGCCCUCACGCCCUCCCCGACACUUGGUUAGAUACCCCCUCCCCAGAGAUAAUCUUUAAAAAACAAAACAAAACAGAUACCAAAACAAAGGAAUCAAACGUACGUUGAGCAGGAACCUCCCACGCCUGCUCCAGGCCUGAAGACAGAAGUCCACUCUGCUAUAAUCCUCCCCCUUCCACAGCAAAACACUUGCAGUCUCUGCAGUUUCGUCUGCGUCUGGUUGUUUUUCUGGAACAGAGAAUGAUUCCUCAACAACUGGUAAAAAUUCACCGAACACC